GGUGGCAGCUCUGGGAAAGAAACAGUUCAAGUGAUGGGAAAUGGACAAGGAACCUCCAACUCCUUCUCCUUCAACAUGUUUGAGUUCUCUGGAAAGGAACCUUCAGAAGUCUACCUUCACUGCCAGCUGCAGCUGUGUGUCAAAAAGAACGGCAGCUGUGAGCCGGGUUGCUCUGGUCCAGCUAGAAGACGCAGAUCUCUCAGAUACAGACGUGGAGCUCCAGCCUUGAUCAGCAUGGUCUGGACUCCUUAGAUUUCUUUCAUGGGGACCUUGACUAAACAUCAGAGUGCCGAUCCAAUCCUGGUUCUGAACCUGGAUGUGUGAAAAAGAUCAGUUCUGGCUGCUGUUAAUCAAAUUUGUUAACUUGAACUGCAGGAAUUCUGCUGCUGUCUAAUUCUGAAAAGGGAAGGAAACUGUCACUUUAUUAUUUUAUCAUUUAUCUGUUCUCUGCUUUAUUACUUAGAUGGGGAAGGAACUGAGUGAGCUAAAAGCUGUUAU